rnacentral:rRNA from 1 species
UGGGGAAUAUUGCACAAUGGAGGGAACUCUGAUGCAGCGACGCCGCGUGAACGAAGAAGGCUUUCGAGUCGUAAAGUUCUUUUAUAUGGGAAGAUAAUGACGGUACCAUAAGAAAAAGCCCCGGCGAACUACGUGCCAGCAGCCGCGGUAAUACGUAGGGGGCUAGCGUUUUCCGGAAUCACUGGGCGUAAAGGGUUCGCAGGCGGAAAUGCAAGUCAGGUGUAAAAGGCAGUAGCUUAACUACUGUAAGCAUUUGAAACUGCAUAUCUUGAGAAGAGUAGAGGUAAGUGGAAUUUUUAGUGUAGCGGUGAAAUGCGUAGAUAUUAAAAAGAAUACCGGUGGCGAAGGCGACUUACUGGGAUCAUUCUGACGCUGAGGAACGAAAGCGUGGGUAGCAAACAGG